rnacentral:rRNA from 1 species
CGGAUUGGCUAUUGGGAGCUCGCGAGAGCACCCGACUGCCGAGAAGUUGUACGAACUUGGUCAUUUAGAGGAAGUAAAAGUCGUAACAAGGUUUCCGUAGGUGAACCUGCGGAAGGAUCAUUAGUGAAUAUAGGACGUCCAACUUAACUUGGAGUCCGAACUCUCACUUUCUAACCCUGUGCACUUGUUUGGGAUAGUAACUCUCGCAAGAGAGCGAACUCCUAUUCACUUAUUAACACAAAGUCUAUGAAUGUAUUAUAUUUUAUAACAAAAUAAAACUUUCAACAACGGAUCUCUUGGCUCUCGCAUCGAUGAAGAACGCAGCGAAAUGCGAUAAGUAAUGUGAAUUGCAGAAUUCAGUGAAUCAUCGAAUCUUUGAACGCACCUUGCGCUCCAUGGUAUUCCGUGGAGCAUGCCUGUUUGAGUGUCAUGAAUACUUCAACCCUCCUCUUUCUUAAUGAUUGAAGAGGUGUUUGGUUUCUGAGCGCUGCUGGCCUUUACGGUCUAGCUCGUUCGUAAUGCAUUAGCAUCCGCAAUCGAACUUCGGAUUGACUUGGCCGUAAUAGACUAUUCGCUGAGGAAUUCUAGUCUUCGGGAUUAGAGCCGAGUUGGGGUUAAAGGAAGCUUCUAAUCAGAAUGUCUACAUUUUAAGAUUAGAUCUCAAAUCAGGUAGGACUACCCGCUGAACUUAAGCAUAUCAAUAAGCGGAGGAAAAGAAACUAACAAGGAUUCCCCUAGUAGCGGCGAGCGAAGCGGGAAGAGCUCAAAUUUAUAAUCUGGCACCUUCGGUGUCCGAGUUGUAAUCUCUAGAAAUGUUUUCCGCGUUGGACCGCACACAAGUCUGUUGGAAUACAGCGGCAUAGUGGUGAGACCCCCGUAUAUGGUGCGGACGCCCAGCGCUUUGUGAUACAUUUUCGAAGAGUCGAGUUGUUUGGGAAUGCAGCUCAAAUUGGGUGGUAAAUUCCAUCUAAAGCUAAAUAUUGGCGAGAGACCGAUAGCGAACAAGUACCGUGAGGGAAAGAUGAAAAGCACUUUGGAAAGAGAGUUAACAGUACGUGAAAUUGUUGGAAGGGAAACGCUUGAAGUCAGACUUGCUUGCCGAGCAAUCGGUUUGCAGGCCAGCAUCAGUUUUCCGGGAUGGAUAAUGGUAGAGAGAAGGUAGCAGUUUCGGCUGUGUUAUAGCUCUCUGCUGGAUACAUCUUGGGGGACUGAGGAACGCAGUGUGCCUUUGGCGGGGGUUUCGACCUCUUCACACUUAGGAUGCUGGUGGAAUGGCUUUAAACGACCCGUCUUGAAACACGGACCAAGGAGUCUAACAUGCUUGCGAGUAUUUGGGUGUCAAACCCGGAUGCGUAAUGAAAGUGAAUGGAGGUGGGAACCGCAAGGUGCACCAUCGACCGAUCUGGAUUUUUAAUGAUGGAUUUGAGUAAGAGCACGUAUGUUGGGACCCGAAAGAUGGUGAACUAUGCCUGAAUAGGGCGAAGCCAGAGGAAACUCUGGUGGAGGCUCGUAGCGGUUCUGACGUGCAAAUCGAUCGUCAAAUUUGGGUAUAGGGGCGAAAGACUAAUCGAACCAUCUAGUAGCUGGUUCCUGCCGAAGUUUCCCUCAGGAUAGCAGAAACUCACAUCAGUUCUAUGAGGUAAAGCGAAUGAUUAGAGGCCUUGGGGUUGAAACAACCUUAACCUAUUCUCAAACUUUAAAUAUGUAGGAAGUCCUUGCUACUUAAUUGAGCGAGGACA